rnacentral:rRNA from 1 species
CAGCCCUUGACAUGCCACGACGGUUUCCAGAGAUGGAUUCUUCCCCGCAAGGGGCGUGGACACAGGUGCUGCAUGGCUGUCGUCAGCUCGUGUCGUGAGAUGUUGGGUUAAGUCCCGCAACGAGCGCAACCCUCGCCCUUAGUUGCCAUCAUUCAGUUGGGCACUCUAAGGGGACUGCCGGUGAUAAGCCGCGAGGAAGGUGGGGAUGACGUCAAGUCCUCAUGGCCCUUACGGGCUGGGCUACACACGUGCUACAAUGGCGGUGACAGUGGGAUGCAAUGGAGCAAUCCUGCGCAAAUCUCAAAAAGCCGUCUCAGUUCGGAUUGUGCUCUGCAACUCGAGCACAUGAAGUUGGAAUCGCUAGUAAUCGCAGAUCAGCACGCUGCGGUGAAUACGUUCCC